AUGGAUCUUUGUGCUUUGAUUCCCCUUUUCUCCUUUAAAAUCUUACGUUAUUUUCAAAGAUAAUGCUACUUUUUAUUAGAAAAUAAAGCUGACAUAGCUGACUAGUGUACCAAAGCCAAAACCAACACCUUAUUUGACUUCAGUUACUCCGUGGCAUUCCUAGAGUGUGUUAGUGCCCGCUGUCCUCUGCUUUGCGACAUUCUAUUAGUUCCUGACAGGUCGGGAAGGAAAGGAUGUGGCAUGAGACACAUGGAUGUAAGUGACUGAAACUUACCAACGGACGCCCAUGCUGGGUGGAGGAACUGCGAAGGGGAAGCCGGGAAUGGAGGCGAGCGUGCGGGACGGCUUCUCGGGGACAGUGCCAUUGACUGUGCCCAGGAACAAGAAAAUACGGAAACAGUGGUGGCUUUCUGCUCGACGGGACUUCCCUAUGAAUGAACAUGCGUGCUGCUGCUGUGAAGAUCAUUUUGAUGUUGAGAACGAUGUUGCCAACUACCUGUAUAUGAAGGAAAAGGAAAAUCCUAGAAAUACUGCAAGACAAAGAAAACAUUUCUGAAAACUGCUCAACCUACAGUAAGUCCAGAAGAUGAGAUAGUAGGAACCAGUCAGUCCGAGCCCCCUGUGAAGCACAUUGGUAUCCAGGUACGGAUGCCUAGAUCAGUGGCUUUACAGACCAGUAUUAUACCACCCAAGGCUGAUGUAGGCUGCAAUACGGACAACGCUCCACACCAAAAUAACUCUCCAUCGUCUGCUGCUGCUUCCCUUUCAAGUGAUGAAGACCAAGACUCUGCUGAAGACUACAUGCCAUCCACAAGUGCGGAAAGUGAAGAAGAGGGAAAAAGUUUGUCACUCAUCGUUACUAGAGACUAUAUUAGAAAAAACCCAAUGCGUUACAUUGGAUUAGACAAAGAAUACCUGAACAUUGUAAAUUUACUGAACAACAAAAUUUGUUAUUGUGAAAGGGAGCAGCUAAUGACAAAAAAGUGAUGAUGUGUCAUUGGUGUUAAUGAGGAUCCGCACAAAUAUCCCCAGUAACAUUAUUGCUGAUAUGUUUGGGAUAUCUGUAGGUAUGGUAAGUAGGAUGCUAUCACGUCACAUACCAAUGGUGGUUAGUUGUUUACAAGGUCUCAUUUACUGGCCUCCUUCAGAGAUGAUAAGAAAAAGACUUCCAUAUGCAUUCAAAGCUUACUAUCAUAAUGUUGAAUCAAUUAUUGAUUGUUUUGAGAUUGAAAUUGAAAAACCAUCCACUGCUAUGAUACAGAGUAUGAGUUGGUCAGCAUAUAAAAACUGCAAUACUGUAAAGUACUUAAUUUCUGCUACCCCGGAUGGACUAGUAAAUUUUGUGUCAACAGGUAGACCUGGUAGGUGUAGUGACAUGGAACUGC